GAUGAACGCUGGCGGCGUGCCUAAUACAUGCAAGUCGAGCGAACAGACGAGGAGCUUGCUCCUCUGACGUUAGCGGCGGACGGGUGAGUAACACGUGGAUAACCUACCUAUAAGACUGGGAUAACUUCGGGAAACCGGAGCUAAUACCGGAUAAUAUAUUGAACCGCAUGGUUCAAUAGUGAAAGACGGUUUUGCUGUCACUUAUAGAUGGAUCCGCGCCGCAUUAGCUAGUUGGUAAGGUAACGGCUUACCAAGGCAACGAUGCGUAGCCGACCUGAGAGGGUGAUCGGCCACACUGGAACUGAGACACGGUCCAGACGCCUACGGGAGGCAGCAGUAGGGAAUCUUCCGCAAUGGGCGAAAGCCUGACGGAGCAACGCCGCGUGAGUGAUGAAGGUCUUCGGAUCGUAAAACUCUGUUAUGAGGGAAGAACAAAUGUGUAAGUAACUAUGCACGUCUUGACGGUACCUAAUCAGAAAGCCACGGCUAACUACGUG
rnacentral:rRNA from 1 species